UAUUGUGUGAACACAGAUGGUAGCAGAGA
rnacentral:piRNA from 1 species